rnacentral:rRNA from 2 species
UGUUUCCGUAGGUGAACCUGCGGAGGGAUCAUUACCGA